ensembl:lncRNA
CACACACCCAGGGAGACACUGUCCUGUCAAGAUCAGGUGAGGAAAUGGGAGGAGAGAGAAAAUGCAGGAGUGGAACAAAAUGCCAGGCCCUUAUGACUGCUUAGCCUGUAACAAUUGGCAAAGGGCUUACAUGCCCAUUUUCUUGAUUAAACUAAACUAUUUUUUUUGAGGAAGAUUAGCCCUGAGCUAACUACUGCCAAUCCUCUUUUUGCUGAGGAAGACUGGCCCUGAGCUCAUCCAUGCCCAUCUUCCUCUAUUUUAUACAUGGGACGCACACCACAGCGUGGCUUGAUAAGCGGUGCCAUGUCCACACUGGGAUCCAAACCGGGGAACCCCAGGCUGCCAAGAAGCAGAAUGUGCACACCUAACCGCUGAGUCACCGGGCCGGCCCCUAAACUUUUUCUUAUAGUUAAGAACUCUAGUCAAGCUGGACAGAACAUCGGAAAUGCUCAAAGGUCACUUUCUCCGGAGAAAGCUUCCCAGGCGCACCAGGCUCGAUGACUUGGAAUUGUAACGGCGCAAUAUCAGUCUCCAUACCGUAGAACCUUUCAAGACAGAGCAAGUCACAUGGUCCUGCACAACUUUAAAUAGGAGGGAGAAUUGCAAACGCAAGCCUACCCUGUGCCCAAAAGGAGGGGGACCAGAACGUCUGUGAAUGUCCCUAGGACUAUCAGAGGCCGAAAGCUGACGGCGCAGUCUGCUAAUACGCGGUCACCUUUGGCUACGAAGAACCUCCACUUCAAGAUGAGGACAAAAACUCCUGUGUUGGUUCUUUGGAGGGGUGCCUUAUGUCGAAUGACUUUGGGACACACGAUACAAGUGAAAUGCCUUCUUAGAGAGCUCCUAAGGAGGAUGCCGAGUUUGGGCUCCCUGCGCCCUUCCCUCGGUCAUACAUGUCCCAGGGCCUUCGAGCACAUGGGGCAGGAGGGCCGUGCCAAUUAACUUCUCGAGAAAAAUAGCGGUUUGAAAACUCGGAGGACCUUUCCACAUCCUUCUCCCUAACGGAGCUCUCAGAGGGACAGGUACAGAGGUGCCGGAGCAGGCCGCAAAACAACCUGGCAUUUCUUUAACCUCUGGGGGCGGAAAGGCGGGCCGUCUUGGACAGACUAAAUUUUGUCUGCUCAGUGAAAAGCAGAAACCAGCACCAAGGACAAGCAGAAGAAGGGGAGGGAAGGCAAAUGAGGUGUGUGUGCGUGUGCGUGUGCGUGUGUGCUUUUUCCCUCCCUUGUGUUCAUCCCUCCAGGGGAGGCGGUUUGGAGCCAGCUCUUUCUCCGGCCACUUUGACCUCUCCUCCUGCGUGGACGUCACAGGUGCUGUUUCCAACCAGUGACCGCGGGUCGUCUCUGCUUCUCCAGCUACCCGUCAGCAUUUUGGUAUCCGUACCAGUGCCGUGGGUGUAGAAUUAUGACCCGUCACAGAGGAGAGAAGCCUGAGCCAGCCCGAACAUGAGGCACUCUGUAGGACUGAGUUCGCAGCCGCCCCGCCCACCCCAGACCCCUAGUCCCAGAGUGCAGCAGACUCUUGGCUUCGACAGAGUCCCCCUGCCCGCAUCUCCUUAGAGUUGAGUGUUUCUACUCCGCUUCUGAUCUCAUCCGGGGAGACGCUUGCUUUGUGUCUGAGGGAGGCUAUGCCACACAUGCACGCGGAUACAUUUGAACACUUUUCCUAUCACUGCUCUAUAUUUCUCUCUUUGAUUCAGAGGUUGGUUUGAUGAGCCAAACACAGCCAGUGUCAUCUUGACUGGGUAUAUGAUUUCAUGCCAUUUUGAAAAUCCUCUCAUGGUAUUUUUUUUUUUUUGGUGAGAAAGAUUGUUGCUGAGGUAACAUCUGUGCCCAUCUUCCUCCGUUUUGUAUGUGGGACACCAUCUCAGCGUGGCUUGAUGAGUGGCGCAGUUCCACACCCAGGAUCUGAACUGGUAAACCCUGGGCUGCCAAAGCGGAGUGCAAGAACUUAACCACUAUGCCACCGGAUUGGCCCCCCCUCACAAUUUUUUAAUUGAAGUUUUUAUUGAGAUAAUUGUAGAUUCCCAUGCAGUCAUAAGAAAUAAUACAGAGAGAUUCUGGGCACACUCUAUCCAGUUUCUCCCAAUGAUAAGCAUUUUAUACAACUAUAGUAUAACGUUGCAACCAGGAUAUUGAAUCUCUCACAGUUUCUAAGAGAAUUAAAAAAAUUGUUCCUGGGGAAGUUGGAGGGGCAGGGUGCAUGCUCCCCUCCCUUGGGCUUUGCCAGCACGGUACUUGCAGGCCUGGAGUCAGGACCCUGGACACGAAUCAGACCCAGCUCUGUCCUUGCAGCUCCUGGGUGGCCUCCCUGGGACCCAGCUUCCUCACCAGUUUGGGGGCAUGACCCAAGCCAUCCACUGAGAAGCCAUCCAGGGACGUUUGUUAAAAUGACAGGGGCGCCAAGGGUUAGGAUGCAGACCGCGGCUUCAGGCAGUCACCUGGCCACCUCGCUGGAAGAGCUUGGUCCGCGUUGGGUUGAAACAGAGGAAAGCAGAGCUGACAGAUGAAAAGAGAGGGAGGUGGACAACCGGAGUCCAGAAAUGUCAACUGAUCGACGGAAGGUCACACAACUGUUCCCAGUGGCCCUUGGAGUAGGUGGAGCCUCACUGUAUCCACUAAACUCAGGAAGAAACUUCCUCCUUUCCCAGCUCCCAGGAUGAGAUGACCACAACUCACUGUAGAAAAUCCCCGCAGUUCUGCUGACAAGUGGAGUGCGUCAGAAGGUCCCCGGACAGCUUUGCUGGCUCGUCUGCUUCUGGUGCCACUUCCUGCUCUUCUUCAUGAGAAUUAUUUGUAAGGAGACAGUCACAUUAAAAAAAAAGAUUCGA